UUAAGCGACUAAGCGUACACGGUGGAUGCCCUGGCAGUCAGAGGCGAUGAAGGACGUGCUAAUCUGCGAAAAGCGUCGGUAAGGUGAUAUGAACCGUUAUAGCCGGCGAUGUCCGAAUGGGGAAACCCAGUGCAAUUCGUUGCACUAUCGUUAACUGAAUACAUAGGUUAACGAGGCGAACCGGGGGAACUGAAACAUCUAAGUACCCCGAGGAAAAGAAAUCAACCGAGAUUCCCCCAGUAGCGGCGAGCGAACGGGGAGCAGCCCGGAGUCUGAAUCAGCUUGUGUGUUAGUGGAAGCGUCUGGAAAGUCGCAGGGUACAGGGUGAUACUCCCGUACACUAAAACACACAGGUUGUGAACUCGAAGAGUAGGGCGGGACACGUGGUAUCCUGUCUGAAUAUGGGGGGACCAUCCUCCAAGGCUAAAUACUCCUGACUGACCGAUAGUGAACCAGUACCGUGAGGGAAAGGCGAAAAGAACCCCGGCGAGGGGAGUGAAAAAGAACCUGAAACCGUGUACGUACAAGCAGUAGGAGCCCACUAGUUGGGUGACUGCGUACCUUUUGUAUAAUGGGUCAGCGACUUAUAUUCUGUAGCAAGGUUAACCGUAUAGGGGAGCCGCAGGGAAACCGAGUCUUAACUGGGCGUUAAGUUGCAGGGUAUAGACCCGAAACCCGGUGAUCUAGCCAUGGGCAGGUUGAAGGUUGGGUAACACUAACUGGAGGACCGAACCGACUAAUGUUGAAAAAUUAGCGGAUGACUUGUGGCUGGGGGUGAAAGGCCAAUCAAACCGGGAGAUAGCUGGUUCUCCCCGAAAGCUAUUUAGGUAGCGCCUCGUGAACUCAUCUUCGGGGGUAGAGCACUGUUUCGGCUAGGGGGUCAUCCCGACUUACCAACCCGAUGCAAACUACGAAUACCGAAGAAUGUUAUCACGGGAGACACACGGCGGGUGCUAACGUCCGUCGUGAAGAGGGAAACAACCCAGACCGCCAGCUAAGGUCCCAAAGUCAUGGUUAAGUGGGAAACGAUGUGGGAAGGCCCAGACAGCCAGGAUGUUGGCUUAGAAGCAGCCAUCAUUUAAAGAAAGCGUAAUAGCUCACUGGUCGAGUCGGCCUGCGCGGAAGAUGUAACGGGGCUAAACCAUGCACCGAAGCUGCGGCAGCGACACUAUGUGUUGUUGGGUAGGGGAGCGUUCUGUAAGCCGUUGAAGGUGGCCUGUGAGGGUUGCUGGAGGUAUCAGAAGUGCGAAUGCUGACAUAAGUAACGAUAAUGCGGGUGAAAAACCCGCACGCCGGAAGACCAAGGGUUCCUGUCCAACGUUAAUCGGGGCAGGGUGAGUCGACCCCUAAGGCGAGGCCGAAAGGCGUAGUCGAUGGGAAACAGGUUAAUAUUCCUGUACUCGGUGUUACUGCGAAGGGGGGACGGAGAAGGCUAUGUUGGCCGGGCGACGGUUGUCCCGGUUUAAGCAUGUAGGCGGAUGUUCCAGGUAAAUCCGGAACGUCACUAACGCUGAGGUGUGAUGACGAGGCACUACGGUGCUGAAGUGACAAAUGCCCUGCUUCCAGGAAAAGCCUCUAAGCAUCAGGUAACAUCAAAUCGUACCCCAAACCGACACAGGUGGUCAGGUAGAGAAUACCAAGGCGCUUGAGAGAACUCGGGUGAAGGAACUAGGCAAAAUGGUGCCGUAACUUCGGGAGAAGGCACGCUGAUGGUAAGUGAAGCGACUUGCUCGUGGAGCUGAAAUCAGUCGAAGAUACCAGCUGGCUGCAACUGUUUAUUAAAAACACAGCACUGUGCAAACACGAAAGUGGACGUAUACGGUGUGACGCCUGCCCGGUGCCGGAAGGUUAAUUGAUGGGGUUAUCCUCGCGGAGAAGCUCUUGAUCGAAGCCCCGGUAAACGGCGGCCGUAACUAUAACGGUCCUAAGGUAGCGAAAUUCCUUGUCGGGUAAGUUCCGACCUGCACGAAUGGCGUAAUGAUGGCCAGGCUGUCUCCACCCGAGACUCAGUGAAAUUGAACUCGCUGUGAAGAUGCAGUGUACCCGCGGCAAGACGGAAAGACCCCGUGAACCUUUACUAUAGCUUGACACUGAACACUGGUCCUUGAUGUGUAGGAUAGGUGGGAGGCUUUGAAGUGUGGACGCCAGUCUGCAUGGAGCCAUCCUUGAAAUACCACCCUUUAAUGGCUGGUGUUCUAACGUGGGCCCGUAAUCCGGGUUGCGGACAGUGUCUGGUGGGUAGUUUGACUGGGGCGGUCUCCUCCUAAAGAGUAACGGAGGAGCACGAAGGUCAGCUAAUCCUGGUCGGACAUCAGGAGGUUAGUGCAAUGGCAUAAGCUGGCUUGACUGCGAGCGUGACGGCGCGAGCAGGUGCGAAAGCAGGUCAUAGUGAUCCGGUGGUUCUGAAUGGAAGGGCCAUCGCUCAACGGAUAAAAGGUACUCCGGGGAUAACAGGCUGAUACCGCCCAAGAGUUCAUAUCGACGGCGGUGUUUGGCACCUCGAUGUCGGCUCAUCACAUCCUGGGGCUGAAGUAGGUCCCAAGGGUAUGGCUGUUCGCCAUUUAAAGUGGUACGCGAGCUGGGUUUAGAACGUCGUGAGACAGUUCGGUCCCUAUCUGCCGUGGGCGCUGGAGAAUUGAGGGGGGCUGCUCCUAGUACGAGAGGACCGGAGUGGACGCAUCACUGGUGUUCGGGUUGUCAUGCCAAUGGCAUUGCCCGGUAGCUAAAUGCGGAAGAGAUAAGUGCUGAAAGCAUCUAAGCACGAAACUUGCCCCGAGAUGAGUUCUCCCUGACUCCUUGAGAGUCCUGAAGGAACGUUGAAGACGACGACGUUGAUAGGCCGGGUGUGUAAGCGCAGCGAUGCGUUGAGCUAACCGGUACUAAUGAACCGUGAGGCUUAACCUU
rnacentral:rRNA from 2 species